rnacentral:lncRNA from 15 species
AUAGCAACAAAAUUCGACACUUGCGUAGAAGGAAAUUGAGGGAAGAGAGGUGUCUAACUCCUGGAGACAGUCAAGCUCUAUAAUGAGCAGGUGUCUAAUGAGGAGCAGAUCGAUGUGGUGAAGGUGGAGAGCAGACUCUCUGUGGUUGGAGGAGACACUGGGGCAGAUCUGAUAUGGCCAUGGGAAGUGCACAGCAGUGAAUCCAGCAAUAUCCUCACCAAGAAGAAGAUUUUUGAUGCAUACAUGUCAAAAAUGAGGCUUCAGGAAGAAAGGGUCAUUGUGGUGAGGGAGAUGAGACAGCACUGCACCUACCUCAGAGGACUGGCUGAGAACAUCAGGACAAAGAUGUCAGAAAUGUCCACUGUCAGGACCAGUGGAAGGUUAAGCAAAGUGGGACAUUGUGGGCUACAGUGUCUUCUUCAGAAAGGCUUGCCGAUGUGGAUGAGAAGUUCCAACUUGUAUAUGCAAGUUACAGCCAGGCCCUGGGACCAAAUGCUGCAUCUUUGCUGGAGGCCUGGCCCCAAGAGAUACCGGAGUGCCAGACAGAACUGGAUGAGAGUUCAGAUGACAGUGAGUCCUGUAUUAUUGUGGCAUCUAUUUGUUUUAUCCUUUUUAUUGUAAUGUAAUGUAAUGUAAUUUUCUUUUUUCUAUUUG